UCGGGAAUUUUGGGCAAUGGGCGAAAGCCUGACCCAGCAACGCCACGUGAGGGAUGAAGUAUUUCGGUAUGUAAACCUCGAAAGAAUGGGAAGAAUAAAUGACGGUACCAUUUAUAAGCUCCGGCUAACUACGUGCCAGCAGCCGCGGUAAUACGUAGGGAGCAAGCGUUGUUCGGAUUUACUGGGCGUAAAGGGCGCGUAGGCGGCGCGGUAAGUCACUUGUGAAAUCUCUGAGCUUAACUCAGAACGGCCAAGUGAUACUGCUGUGCUAGGGUGCGGAAGAGGCAACCGGAAUUCUUGGUGUAGCGGGGAAAUGCGGAGAUAUCAAGACGAACACCUGAGGCGAAGGCGGGUUGCUGGGCCGACACUGACGCUGAUGCGCGAAAGCCAGGGGAGCAAAC
rnacentral:rRNA from 1 species